rnacentral:rRNA from 1 species
GGGUCAGUAGGCUGGUCGUGCCACCGGUACGUACUGGUCUCACUGAUUCCUCCUUCCUGAAGAACCGUAAUGCCACUAAUUUGGUGUUGCGGGGAAACAGGACUGUUACUUUGAAAAAAUUAGAGUGUUUAAAGCAAGCUAACGCUUGAAUACAUUAGGAUGGAAUAAUGAAAUAGGACGAUCGAUCCUAUUUUGCUGGUUUCUAGGAUUGACGUA